GCCAGCAUGAUGUAGUGGUUUGAGCAUUGGACUAUGAUUCUGGAAGCCAAGGUUCAAAUCCCUGUUCAGCCA